AUAUAUAUAUACAAGAUGAUGUCAGCCCACAAAUCCAAAUGGUGUGUUGCGAAGGGGUGCAGCAACAAUUAUACAACAGAAAAAAGACACUUUUUUUCGUUUCCAAAAGAGCAUGACAGAUGGUUACAAUGGAUACAUAUAUGCCAAAGAUUGGAUUUAGAAGUCAUGGGUCCAGAAUACGCUCAUCGUAAUUAUAAACUGUGCCACUUGCAUUUCAAAGAAAAGUGAUAUAAAAUAAGCAAGAAGAGAGCUUAUCUUUAUCCUGAUGCUGUACCAACGACAUUUUUGGGAACAAACAUUACACCUAUGACAGCAUCUGAUGUUGAAAAUGUUACUAAUCGUAACGAAGAAGAAUGUCAACAAGAGGAAACAAAUAG